UGUGCUAAUGAGAACAUAAGAGUGAUAUACUUGGGUUGGGAAAGAAAAGGCUUUAUCAUUCUUAAGCUUUAUUAAACACUUGGGAAGUAAGGAUUAUGGUAUUUCGGUAUUGGAGUUAGGCCAAUCCUUAAGAUCAACAAAGAAUUUUAAGUUCUUUGAACUUAAGGUGUCUUUUCGGAGUGUUCUACGUCCCCCAUUUGUUCUCAUAUCCCGGUUUUGUGUGAUGUAGGAAAAUAGAUGCAAUGGCGAAAGGAUUCUUGGAAGUUUGGUGUGUGUAUGGAGGUGAAUGGAGUGGAUGGGCUGCGUGUCGAUUCGAGGACAACGUUUUUUUUAGUCUCUUUAAAUUACGUUUUUAUGUAUUUUUUUCCGCAUUUAGUUUUGUAAUUUUUUUUAUUAAAAGUUAUGUUUUAUUUUAAAACAAUGAGCUCAUUUAUGUAUUACAAAUAUUAUUUUCCAAAGUUUCAAUAAAGUUAUGAAUUUUAUUAUGUAUC